AAAGUUCCAAUGGUGAAUAAAAAAAUUUUUGAGUACCAAGUUUUAAUAAUCCGGAAAUCAUGGCUUAAAUUAUUAAUUAAAAAAAAAUGGAAGUAAAAGUUUUUAUUGUAUACAAUAUUCUUAUUAUGAAAACAAAUUGAUUAAUAAUAAGCUACAUAAAAGAAAAAAUAUAUAAGGUAACUCGGGGAAGACAAGAAUGAGGGGAAGAUGAGAGUUUCGACGAUUAAAUUGGAUCUGAUACGGAAUAUUCACAACACAGCCUUCACAAUGGAUGCCUACACGCUAGAUUGCAGGAAGUCCUGCCUUCUGUUGGCGUGUGAACGAAAUAUCGCAAAACUUUCAUCUUCCCCCACUCCUGUCUUCCCCCGAAUUAUUUUAUGUUUUAUAUCAAUAAAUUACAUUUGUUUUAACAAUACAAAAUAG
rnacentral:lncRNA from 1 species